rnacentral:snRNA from 1 species
GGAUAUGAGAGUCAUCUGGCUGCAACAUCUGUGACCCUUGAUUUCCAAGGUUGAUUUGGCUGACCUGGAUGGCUAGGCUGGUGUCCCCUUCCUCCCUCGCCACUCCAUAUGUCUCCCUCCCCACUCCAUAUGUCUCGCUCCCAAAGACAUAUGCUCAGUUGAAGAGGAUGAACACCCCUGAUAAAGGAGGACCAUUUUCUUGGUCAAGGAUAUACAAGUAGUUGCACUUCCCUGCUAAAACCACCAAAUAAGCUCUCAAGAACCUGGAACUGAAAGUGAUGCCAAGAUCUAAAGUCACAAGCACCAUGCAGUACCAUAGGAUGUAAAACAUGAAUAUU